UGAAAGGAGACAGUAACUUAGGUUAUGAGAUAGUGUUUGGUUGACGAAGGGGAAGAAGUGAGAUGGUGUAGCUAAGGUAGUGAACAAUGUAAGUCACAUUAAAGUCGACCGUAGCUAGCUAAGCCUGCGCCAAUGUCAUGUGCAGAACUGACACAAGCUGAAUGUGAAACAUUGACAAAACAAAAAUCUCAGAUUCUUAGUACCAAGGGGGUUCCCAUGUUCAAAAUGGUUAAGGUGGUGUGUACACUUUAGGUAAACAUGGAAUCCUAUUUCCACUUCGUC
rnacentral:lncRNA from 1 species